rnacentral:rRNA from 1 species
AUGGCGACUCUUUCCGACGCCCACUCCGCCACGGGUGGCGGCGGCGACGCCGCGGCUGCACGUUCGGAUCUGGGUGACUUCCUCUAGCAGUUGGAUCUGAACAAUGAUGACUUUGCUGAUGUGGAGAUCGACGAGGAUGAUCCUCCGAUUCAAGAAAGCGUCCGCUGGCUUGCCCUAGCCACGGUCCAUACAAGUAGGAAGUUCAGCCCGUCUGCCUUCUACAAGGAUAUGAGGGCUGCAUGGAACCCCGCGCAGGACGUGAGAUUUCGGCCGGUUGGCCCUAAUCGUUUUAUCGUCCAAGCAUCUUGCUUGGGGGAUUGGGAA